UAAAAUGGAGUCAGAUUAGAAUUGGAUUUAAAUUGAAUAACUCUACGCACUGAAAAGACCGAACGCGCAAGCAACCUUCAGCCAGCACCGGAUACCUUCCUUGGACCGAGUGCCUGGACCUUACAAAGUGGUGACCGGCGACGCGAUCUCCCAAACAGGUUGACCACUGCAAUUCUUUGGAGGACAGAUACCAGGAAGGUGCCUGGUCCCAUCUGCAUCAAACCAGGACAACAGAAUUGUUAGAACAUAACCUGAAAUGUGGGAGAUGGAUGCGAAGACACUUGAAGGGGCCAUUCACACCUCACAGCAGAACAUCACUACACACAUAUCCACAUGGCCUCCCGGAUUAGAACCGGAACUAAAUUUUUGCAACACAGAUUGCUAUAGAUUAGACUCCAUCCAUCUCCCAGACAUGAGUACAGAACACACACCUCCACCAUUGCAUCACCUCAUUUAGACUAUCCAGUCUGUACACUACAAACAGAAGACAAUGAUGGCUUGGAUUACAAAUGUGGUACUCCACUAAAGAUCUAUUGUCCAUCUUCACACUGACAGAACCACAUAGCCUCACACACACAGGAGAACAUAAUUAAUUACAUUCCAAAAGAUACAACAUAUCUACUAUCUGCAACCAUCUGAAAACUCAUGGAACAACACUCUAACACACAUUUACACGACUAAUCACAGAUCGAUGGCGCAAAUUUUUGAACACAGAGGCAGACGAGCCUUUGAAAUUUAAAAUAUUGAAUCUUUAUUAAAUGUGAAAUGCCUGCACUUCAUUUCUAUCAAUCAAUCAUAAAAAUACAAUUUUACCAAACCAUCAACUGUGACUUAGCCUGCAUAUCAGAUACCCAUUCACACACACACACACACACACACACACACACACACACACACACACACACACACACACACACACCUGUUACUAGGAAUUUAGGAUUUCCAUUCUAGAAAAAUGUUUUAAUCAUGUUCUAAGUCACUACUUAGAAACCUUAGAUCUACAUAAGUGGAUUGCAUCGGAAGAUUCCUGAAUGAACAGUGUGAUUAUUAUAUAUACCUUCAUAAUCGUGAUUGAAUAUUAUUCUUAUUGUCACCAUAUGGCUUGUUUAUUGAUGCAUACCUCUACAUUAAUGUUUAAGUUAUACUGACCUCUUGCUGCAUUUCCUUUGAGUCAUUCAGACCAAGAAAAUUUAAAUCUAUGCUUACAUGGGACCACUCUACCAUAUUUGACCUCAAAAGACUUUUAACAUCAGAUGUACCACUUGCACUUGCUGACAUGAAUUCAUCAGGUUUCUUUUUUGUUUUAUUGUUCUUAUGUUAACUUAUGACUUUUCUAUCUUACUCCAUGGGUGAUGACAUUAAGCUGAUCAGAAUUCAGUCAUUGAAUGGCUACUAAGAUGCUUUUCAGGUGUCCCACACAAAUCAGUGUGUAAGCAAGGAGAACACUUUCACCUAUUGAAGUCUGCCCAGAGAACCGCACCACUGGAGGUGAGAGGAUUCACGAAGAUGGGUCAGACUAUCGUCCUAGAGAAGGUGCCACAAGGAGCAGAGGUUUCUCCGUAAAGGAAUGACACAUAAACUGAACAAGUCGUAAAGGCUCAGACUGACCCACUGAACUGUGCUCACAUGCUGAGCUCAACCACAGGUAGAAACACCGGAGACAUUCAUCCACCUGCCAAACUCAAGCGACACACAC
ensembl:lncRNA